AGAUGAACAAAAUUUGUGAUCAGUGCUCAUGAAACAAAGUUUGGUCAUUCACAUUAAUGACUAAUGUCUAUGGCUUAAUUGUCCACAACUGUUCUCAUUUUGAGUUGUAUGACAAUGUGCAGUGGUGGUGCAACUGGUUAGACUCUUGGCCUUAAGAGUUCUGAGGUUUGGGAUUCAAAUCCUGGCCUGCCUAGAUGGAGUUUGCAUGUUCUCCCCGUGCCUGCAUGGGUUUUCUCCAGGCACUCCGGUUUCCUCCAACGUCCCAAAAGCAUGCAUUAAUUGGAGAGUCUAAAUCUGCCUUGUGAUUGUAACAGUUGUAUGUCUGUAUGUCCCCUGCGAUGUGUACUGAAUAUCCUGCUCGAUGAUAGCUGGGAUAGGCGCCAGCACUACCGACAGAUCCGACAAUGAAUGAAUGACAAUGUGCAGCUCAGACAGGACGUAAAUUAGUUUUGUCCAUCCAUUUUCCAAGUUGCUUAUCCUCACAAUGGUCACAAGAAUUAGUGUUGUUCUGUUCAAAAGAAUUAAUCUUUUUAGUGAAUCUGCUCCACUGAAUCGGUUUAUAAAAUUAUUUGUUCUUUGCGGUUGACUGCUGCUGUGCGCAAGAUGAGUUGGCCUGGGAGUGGAAAUGAAACUUCUGCUGUGUUUUCUUUCUCACUUCUGAAUCUUCAGCAAAUUGCCAAUGGGCAGCCAGCAUCCAUGUGAGGGUGGGACUUCACUAGAUGUAUAUUCCCGGUUCACCAUUGCAGCCCUGCAUAUUCGCGUAUGUUGCGCUCUAAUUUUUUUUUUUUUUUUUUAGUUUACCAUAUUUUCACGAUCUAGAGGUGUUAAAUUCUGUUUUAAAUAGAUGAGGGACCACAUUAGAUAUGGCGCUUUACAACAAAACCCACGUGCACACUCAGUUCCAACAUUUGCAAAUGUUGUGUGACUUGUCCAACAACGUACAUUUAAACACACUUUACACUGUUGGCAUGCCUGCCAGCAUGUUUUAUCAUGUAUGCAAACUACCAUAAGAGAGCACUCACGAGGCAGUGAGGAACAAUUGAAUUUCACGUGUAAGCACAAGAAGCUUACAUGGCUCCACAUGCUGCCUUUGUAGGCAGGUCAUUACUGACGAUGCUGUAACAAUCAGGGUCACAUCGAAACUAAAAUAAUCACACCACAGCAAACAGAAUAGCAAAACUAACAAAUAUGAGAAAUAAAAGACUCAAACAAUAACUGGCAAUAAGAUGCAUUUUAAACGCUAUUUACAUGCACACAGCAUGCUUUGCAGCACUAAGGACCCCCUCAGUGUUUCGCCUCCUUAUUAAAAGUUAUUGAAGCGAUUUUAUGAAUGUUUGCCUCAUCCUUCUUUAUCUAGCGCACCAUGGUUCAUUCACGCCAUCAUGGCACUCCACAAAAAUGUAACUUCUUUCGUCUUUGAUCAUAUCUAAAAGUUUUACUUUUUCGGUAAUCGUCAUCAUCUUCCUCUUCCGCAUUGGAGGAAGCUUUCGCAUCAGCGCAGUGCUUUGGGACCAUUGUGAACAAGAGAGGUUAUCGUGCAGACAGUCAACAGCAUAGACGAAAGUGGUACGAAAAUGGGAGAAAGGAAGGACAAAGGAAAGGGUGGGACAAAUCUAAAACAUAAGUUUCUGGGUGAGGCUUUGAUGUUGCGCAACCAAUCAGCGCGGAAGAUAAAUGCACAUAUGCUCUUAUUGGUUGAUGUAAGGCCUGGGACCAAUCAUGCACCAUGUAUCAAUGCAUCUUCCCGCAAAGGAUGGAUCCGUGAGAAUGAUUGACAGCUCCCUUUUGACCAAUCAGUGAGUGUCAUUUUCUGAACUCCACCCAUGCUACCUUCAGCCACGAUCCUUUACCCACAAACAAAGACAGCGCAUUUUUACUUUAAUCCUCUGAAUUGCGAGUGUAUCCUUCUUAUAUCCGAUUCGGAAAUAUGGUGCUUUGAUGUGGCUGGGGAACGUGUAAUGGAGACGAGCGCUAUCCAGAGAGAUUACUGGGAGGAUAUCUGCUGCACUUUCCAACCCCAAAACGUAAUUUAGAUAAAUGCAAAGGGUCGAUUAAGGCUUGUGGCCGACAUCACGACCAUCUGAACGUAAUGAAGAUAAAUUAGCACAAGGCCGUCUGUUCCAAGGUCUAGAUGAGAACAAGGCGUCUAGGCCCCGAGGAAGCAAACCACGCCCUUACCAUGAUCCUCUUUCCACUAUACUUCACAGGGGGGCACGGUGUCACGCGAUCGACCAAAACUGCCUCGCCAUCGACUGGUCGAUCGUGAUGAUAUAUUGAGCACCCCUGGCUUAGAUGGAAAAAGAUGACACGCUGCAACGACGCCUAACGGGACAAGAUGAAAGGAAAACAAGAAGAAGGUGUGCAUUUAGGAGCUUAGACCAAUGGACGAAGAAAGACAAAUAUUCUUUAAACUACCACAAGUUUUCAAAGUGUUAAAGUUGUUCAAACUAAAAUCAAGAACCAUUCCCUUUAUUUUUUUUUCACUAUAUUGUUCCUCUGGGCACAUGAUGAUCCAUUUCAGUCUUUCAAAGAUGGGUGCCCUGAGUGAAAAAAGCAAAUAUAAAAUCUUAUAAUCUGUUUAUCACGUCUGAAUAGUUUGGAAGCUACAGUGCAGCCUGUAUUGACAAAGGCUACAGCAGGCCCAGGGGCUUCAUGCAUGACAUCUUGUGUUCAUUUUUCAACUGUUCAAGUAGAGAAUGUUUAAAUCUACUGUGUAGCAGUGAAAGCCUUGGGACUAGGAAUGCACAUCCUGAAUACUGUUUCGACUGAUCAGUCAUUUAUCAACAACCAGUUUAGCCCUGAUCAAAAUGUAAAGAAUUUUAUGCCAUUAUAACUCCCAAAUAUUUAUCAUGUAAAAAAAAUUAGUCUAUGUGGACAGCAACAUUAGCCUGUAUUUGUAUCCACGCAGGACGACACUUUCCUGGCCUGCAUGUUCUUGAGACAUACACAUAACACACAACGCAGCUACGGACUACACAACAUGCACCACUUUAGUGAGCACAUCACAACAGGAUAAAUAAAAAUAAUAAAUGUCCACAAUGGAAUGUUUGAUAGACAAUUAUUCGUGUCUAGUAGAGAUCUUAGAUAAUGAGAUGAAAGCCUUUUGGUCUGAAAUCUCCGAAAUAACCCCAGAACAAAAGCUAAACACCUUGUAAUGACGAAGCUGGUAAGAAUUAACCAAAGUGCAAGGAGUCCGACAUGGGCUGAAAAGGCUGCUCACCGAGAAUGAAGCCAUUACUCUUCAAGAAACAUAAAAAAGCCAGAUUACAGUUUGCAAAAAGAAUACUAUUUUAACUUCUGGAGACAUGUCCUGCAGUCUGAUGAAACUAAGGUAGAGGUUACAUCUGGAACAUCAGGAAGAAAAAGGGGGAAGCUUGUAGACCGAGAACACCAAACCAAAUGUGAAGCAUGGAGGUGGCAGCAUGAUGUGGGAGUGUUUUGCUGCAGCAGGAACUGGAGAUCUUCAUAAAAUAGAGGGCAUCAUGAAGUAACACCAUUAUAUGUAGAUAUUAAGGAAAAAUUAUUUCGGAGUGAUGUGAAAGACUCGUCACCAAUUAUUGCAAGUACUUGAUUUCACUUACUGCCGCCAUGGGUGGCACAACCAGUUAUCAGGUUCAGGGGGUAAUUUUUCAUAGAGGGUCAAAAAGGUUUGGAUUUUUUUGUGUGUGUGUACCUUAAUAAAUUAAAUUGUCAUUUUGUAUUUUCCUGGGUUGUCUCUUAGUGAUAUUAAAAUAGUUGUGAUGAGUUGAAAACUUUGCAUGUGAUAGAUUAAAAAAAAAAA